rnacentral:rRNA from 1 species
AGGAUGAACGCUAGCGGCAGGCCUAAUACAUGCAAGUCGAGGGGGAUUCAGCUUUCGGGCUGAUGAGACCGGCGUACGGGUGCGUAACGCGUAUGCAACCUACCUCUGUCAGGGGGAUAGCCCGAAGAAAUUCGGAUUAACACCGCAUAACACCAUCUGAUAGCAUUAUCGGAUGGUCAAAUAUUCAUAGGACAGAGAUGGGCAUGCGUGCCAUUAGCUAGUUGGCGGGUAACGGCCCACCAAGGCGACGAUGGCUA